UACAGAGGGUGCAAGCGUUAAUCGGAAUUACUGGGCGUAAAGCGCGCGUAGGUGGUUUGUUAAGUUUGAAUGUGAAAUCCCCGGGCUCAACCUGGGAACUGCAUCCAAAACUGGCAAGCUAGAGUAGGGCAGAGGGUGGUGGAAUUUCCUGUGUAGCGGUGAAAUGCGUAGAUAUAGGAAGGAACACCAGUGGCGAAGGCGACCACCUGGGCUCAUACUGACACUGAGGUGCGAAAGCGUGGGGAGCAAACAGGA
rnacentral:rRNA from 1 species